rnacentral:rRNA from 1 species
GAUGAACGCUGGCGGCGUGCCUAAUACAUGCCAGUCGAGCGAACAGAUGAGGAUCUUGCUCCUCUGACGUUAGCGGCGGACGGGUGAGUAACACGUGGAUAACCUACCUAUAAGACUGGGAUAACUUCGGGAAACCGGAGCUAAUACCGGAUAAUAUAUUGAACCGCAUGGUUCAAUAGUGAAAGACGGUUUUGCUGUCACUUAUAGAUGUAUCCGCGCCGCAUUAGCUAGUUGGUAAGGUAACGGCUUACCAAGGCAACGAUGCGUAGCCGACCUGAGAGGGUGAUCGGCCACACUGGAACUGAGACACGGUCCAGACUCCUACGGGAGGCAGCAGUAGGGAAUAUUCCGCAAUGGGCGAAAGCCUGACGGAGCAACGCCGCGUGAGUGAUGAAGGUCUUCGGAUCGUAAAACUCUGUUAUUAGGGAAGAACAAAUGUGUAAGUAAAUAUGCACGUCUUGACGGUACCUAAUCAGAAAGCCACGGCUAACUACGUG